GCCCCAGCCCGCCAGGCCCUGCGCGGCCCCGCGCAGCGCGCGGAAGUUGUCGGACAUCAGCAGGGUCGCCUUCAAGUUGCUCGACAGGCCCUGGCACAAGUACAGUAAGCCCGACGUGGUGCACAGAGAACCGAAGUAUCCAGGGGCCACUUCUGGCCACUGCAGAACCAAGAAGAUAGCCACGGACAAUACGCUCAUGAGAUCAUCCACGGACCAGGAGGCGACAAGCGUGGACACGGCAGUUUUGUUCUGCAGUUUCAACAGAGAAACUAGUGAAAAAAUGCUGCCCCCCAGAGCUGCGAUAGACAUGAAACAUAUCAGGCAGAAGAGAGGCAGAUUCAGAGUUCCUGCAGAAUUUAAAAGGUCCGUGGAAUUAUGACUUACUCUCCACAGAUUUCUUGCCUUUGCAAGCAUCCUGUCAAACAACUUCAAUAAAUCAGAGGAAUUGGUGGAGAAAAAACUUCUUGAGAGAACAUUUCUUUCAUCCAAAGUCAGCCAGAAUGAUGAAGAUGGCCUUUUCCCCUUCUUUUUACUUUGCGUCACUAAGCUCCAAAGGCUUUAUUGAAAUUACCUCAGUAGCUCAUACUUCCCUAGGGAGAUGUAAAGCUUCUUCAGUGUUUACAGCUGAAAAGUUAAAGCAUGCAAACAAAAUUAUUUGUUGAAGAUGAGACUGCAAUUCAUUGACUGAGAUUCAUUGAAAAAUAUUAUACAGUCAUGUGCAUGGCAUUCAGUAUAAGUGGGUAAUGAGUAACAGAAAAAACGGAAGUUUUAUAUAUUUAACACAAGCUUUGAACUAUACUCAUGUGGACUUGAAUUCUUACUCCAAAUGUAUAAAGUAAUGAGACCUGACGAGAUAAACCACCCCUCACAUUUCAGCCAAGGCCCAGGUGAAACC